ACUGCUCUGGAGGACGAUCUAGUAGGAGGUUUCCAACUGUAGCAGUCAGGAUCACUUGACCAGGUAGAGGGAGGACGCCAGGACUACUUGACCAGGUAGAGGGAGGACGCCAUGACUACUUGACCAGGUAGAGGGAGGACGCCAGGACUACUUGACCAGGUAGAGGGAGGACGCCAGGACUACUUGACCAGGUAGAGGGAGGACGCCAUGACUACUUGACCAGGUAGAGGGAGGACGCCAGGACUACUUGACCAGGUAGAGGGAGGACGCCAUGACUACUUGACCAGGUAGAGGGAGGAAAAUACAUAACCACUACCUUCGGUUACCUCUAGCAACUUUUGUACAACUCCACUCACCCACAGUCAGAACACAUUUAAAAAGGCAUGUUGGGGCCUCGCGUAGUUUAGAUACACAAAGAUACACUUUUUGUCAAAGAUAAUUUAAAA